AUACGUAGGUGGCAAGCGUUGUCCGGAAUUAUUGGGCGUAAAGCGCGCGCAGGUGGUUCCUUAAGUCUGAUGUGGAAGCCCCCGGCUCAACCGGGGAGGGUCAUUGGAAACUGGGGAACUUGAGUGCAGAAGAGGAUAGUGGAAUUCCAAGUGUAGCGGUGAAAUGCGUAGAGAUUUGGAGGAACACCAGUGGCGAAGGCGAUUGUCUGGUCUGUAACUGACACUGAGGCGCGAAAGCGUGGGGAGCAAACAGGAUUAGAUACCCUGGUAGUCCACGCCGUAAACGAUGAGUGCUAAGUGUUGGGGGGUUUCCGCCCCUCAGUGCUGCAGCUAACGCAUUAAGCACUCCGCCUGGGGAGUACGGUCGCAAGACUGAAACUCAAAGGAAUUGACGGGG
rnacentral:rRNA from 1 species